rnacentral:lncRNA from 1 species
GCGAAAACGAAAGUGCUGGAAGGGUCACGGGCUUCCCAGAGUCCUGGCCCAUUAACAGCUGAAGGCCCAGGCCAGGGUCCCCUGCAUCUGAUAAGCCCAAGCUGGCCUCGGCCUGCCUGGACUGCCGGAGAGCCCGGGGUCUUCUGGGAGAGCCCCAACCCGGGCAGGGGAGUGCAGGCAAGCAAACCGAGCUGGUGACUGCCGGAGUUCACAUACAUUUAUUCAAUUGACACCAACGAGGAGUGGGGGGAGACAUUUUUCUUUUCUUCCACACAAACCAUCAGACGAUUUCGGAGUCUCCCCACAGUAGAGAAGUCUAAAUCAAUGCACACCCAGUGGACAGAGAACGCAGAUAGCAGCCCGCUGUACAGAUAUUUACAAAUAAUUACAGGACCCCCUGCCACAGGAUGUGCCCUCACCCACCCCACCCCCACCUCUCCAGCCCCUGACCCAGACCUCCUCUCCCACCCAAACCUCAUUGCUUUUAGCUACAAUAAAUAUCCCAGGGCCUGGGACAGAGCAGAGCACUAAGAGGACUGCUGGCCCUGGGUGGCUGGACCCAGCCGGCCACGGGAAAGGGGAAAAGUUCCUUCAAAAGCACCCCAACACAAAAGAGGGAGGAUGUUUCUCGGCGGGGUGGGACUCCGCAUGGAUUGUGGAGACCCCUCGCUUCACCUCUUCGUUCAGCUUCGCCUGUGUAGACACUCCUUUAUAGGCUUCAGAGAGAAGGAACCUCCUUGGAGAACAGCAAGGAAAAAAAGUUGAAUUCUUCUUUUGAGCACAAAGCGGAUAAUAGAUGUCUUUAAAUUAUAAUAUUGGACAAGCAGGGCCUCAAAGCCGAGGAAGGAGUGAGCGGGAUGCAGAAAGAGAGACCCCUCUGCGCAGUUGGUGCUUCUGGCGGGACCCGCGGGGCCUGGGCAGGCUUCUCUCCAGGACAGCAAUUCUUCCGGGGCUGCCGGGAGAAAGCGAAGACUCCCCCCGCCCCCGUUAUACUGCUCAAAUUGGAACCGGAUCGUGGCUUGCGAACUCGUCGCGUAGACCCGGGCCUCUCCCUGAGCGAUGGAGCCCGCUUCGUCCCAACUGUCGGCGAGAUUCUGAGCGUGGAGCCUGAAGUGCCAAGUCACGCGCGCCGGCCCAAGGUCUGGCGACUCUUCAUAAAUAGACUCCCUGAGUUCCUCUGGGACCGCAGGAGCUCCCGGGAGAGGCUUAGGAGUGCGGGCCUAACUGGCCCUGAGCCGACGCGGUCAGAAGUGGCAGCCACUGAGACCGGCGACUUUGCCGGCAAACGGAGGCCCUGAGGACAGGAGCGCGUCCCCGGGGUGCGAGAGGCGGAUGUGGCCGGCCACUGGAGCCAGGGCUGGGGCAGUCAGCAUGGCCAAGACCUGGGCUUGACCGCCAGGACCCGCCGCCGCCGCGAACGGCGAUCCCGGGGAGCCCUCGCCUCCGCCCGGGGGUGCUGCCCCGCCGCCGCCGUGGCCCAUGAUGUGGUCUAUGGAGAAGGAAGGCCUCUGGCCGGCCCCGGCGCCCCCGCCGCCCGCACCACCGCCCGCGUCCGUCUUGAGGCCCUGGCGCAGGAGUGCGGUGGACAGACCAGCCGCGGUGCCGGCUGCGGGAGGGCUCAGCGACGCGGGGUAGAAGGCUUUGGCGCAGCCCAGCUCCGCGCCCAGGAAGGCGGGCAGGCCUGCGGGGCCCGGGCCCGACCCUGUGCCCGGGGCAGGCGCAGGGGCCGGAGCCGAGGCUGCGCCUGCGAACACCGAGGCCGUCGGAGGUCCGGGUGGAGGCGCGGCGGCACGGCCUGGGGGUACCGACAGCUGGCAAGGAGCGGCGGCGGCGGCGAAAGCGAAGGCGUGCGGGUGUGGAUGCGGAUGCGGGGCCGGGCCCGGCGGCGGUGCGCCGUAGGCCGGGAGAGCCAACCCGUAGCCAUAGCCGUAGGCUCCGUAAGCGGCGAAACCCGGCAGAAAGGCGCCGGGGUCCCCCGCCGCCGCAGCCCCGCCACGCAGCAGCAGCUCCGGGUGAGGGUGCGUGUGUGGAUGCGGCGGCGGCAGCGGCUGCCGCUUGAAGCGCUUACGGCGCCGCAGGAAGCUGCCGUUGUCGAACAUGUCGGCCGACUCCGGGUCCAGCGUCCAGUAGUUGCCCUUGCCCGGGUUGCCCGGCUCGCGGGGAAUCUUGACGAAGCAGUCGUUGAGCGAGAGGUUGUGGCGGAUGCUGUUCUGCCAGGCGGGGAACUUCUCCCGGUAGUAGGGGAAGCGGCCGCUGAUGAACUCGCAGAUUUCACUCAGCGUCAGGCGCUUCUUGGGGCUCUGCAGGAUGGCCAUGGUGAUGAGCGCGAUGUACGAGUAGGGAGGCUUCACCAGCGGGCUCCGCGUCGCCGCGCCCCCCGACGGCGGUCCCGGCCCGGGGGCCCCGCCGCGCCCCGGGCCGCCGCCGCGCCUGGCCGGGGCUUCCCGCUGCGGCCGCCGCCCCCCGGGGCGCUAGAGCGCGGGGCUCGCCGUCCGAGCAGCCGCCCGACUCCUCGUCCUCAGCUGCGUCCGCCUCGGCUUCCUCCGAGGGAGGCUCGGGGCCGUGCGGGAGCACGUCCCGGGGGGCGCGGGGCCCGGAGCGGGCAGGGAGCUCCCCCCCACCGCUGCCGCCGCCGCCGCCGCCGCCCACUACGUCUAUGUCUGCGUCGGCCUCGGACAGCGCGGCCGGGGAGCUCUCGGAGGACAUGAUCUCGCAGCAGCAGCUGCCCAGGGUCAUGGUGCCGCCGCCGCCGCCGCUCUCCGGCUCCGCUCCGGCCGCGGCUCGGGCUCCGCCGCGCUGCCUCUGGGGCGAGUGUGUUUUGCGCGCGGGCGGGGAGGGGGCGGGGGACUGAGGCGGACAGGGAGGGGUGUCCCCCAGCUUCGCAGCGCCCCCUCGUGGCCCGACUCGGCCGCUCUCACCUCUCGGGGAGUACCCGACCCGCGGCUCUCUCCGCUGCCCCGGGAGCCCGAGCGGGGGCCUGCACGCCGGGGCGCGGGCGGAAGGAGCUGAGGCCUCCCCUCACCCUGGCCGGUCUCGGCCCCAGUCCCCCCGGGGCGGGGGGGGGUCCGGGUAUUAGUCCCUCCCGCCCAGCGGCUGCCCAAGGCGGAAGAGCGCGAGCCCGGGGCGGAGCUCCCUCAGCGGGGUGGGGCGGGGCGGGAGGGGGCGGGCGGAGUGUCUCCGCGGAGGGGCCCGGCGGGAACAAACAGCCGCCGCGGCGGGAGCUCGGCUCCGGUGCCGGAGGCGAGUCCUCCUCUUCCCCGCAGAUCCCGCAAACCUUUCGCUCCCUGGAGCCGCUGCCUUCAGUGCGUUCGGCCCCUGGAUGUUAAGGUUCACGCGGGUGCCAGCGGGAGCCGGGAGAAGGAGCGACAGCGCCCACCCAUCGUCGCCCCAAGGCAGAGACAGCGCCCGGGCCACCAAGGCCGAAGCGCAGUCGGAGCUGGAGCGGGAGCCUGAGACGCCCAGACCAGCGCCGCCCGAGGAGAGCGGGGCCCGCCGCCGCCCGAGCGGCUUCCGGCCCAAGGGGAGACGCACUUGAGUGAUCGCGAGGAGCGAACUUGGCACUCUCAGCCUCGGGCCUCGGAGAGGAAGAUUAGCCCUGAGCUAACUACUGCCAAUCUGCCUCUUUUUGCUGAGGAAGACUGGCCCUGAGCUAACAUCCGUGCCCAUCUUCCUAUACUUUAUACGUGGGACGCCUACCACAGCAUGGCUUGCCAAGCAGUGUCAUGUCUGCGCCUGGGAUCCGAACCGGCGAACCCCAGGCCACUGACGCAGAACAUUCGCACUUAACUGCUGCACCACCGGGCCAGCCCUCCACUGUGUUUUUUUAAGGGGGAAAAUAAUGUAUAUUUGUUUUGGUUUGUAUAUGCAACAAAAAUAUGUAGGAGGAUGAAUAAAAACUGAACAACUGAUUAUCUGUUGAGGCAAAUGGGGAACAAAAAUGGAGAAGCCACCCCAGCCGCAAACAGCGUCCAAAUGGAUCCUGGCUUCAUUCCACUGCUUUCCUGCUCAAAUCAGAGGCAGAGAAUGACUUUGGAGUCAGGCGGACCUAGAGUCAAGUUCUGAGUGGGUCACUUUGCAGCUUGACCUGGGAUCUUCCGAAGAAGGACCUCACCUGGGCUUAAAACCACGCCAGUCACUACAGCAGAGGGUUCUCCACGUUGUGCAUUUGUCCUUCUGCCUUCCCAGAUGUGCAAAAUUUUCCCCCAAAUUUACCUCGACUGAAACAAAGAAACAAAGCAAGAGAAAGGAAGAUAUGGAAGCAAAGGAUCCAAGACAGGAGAGAGAUGGAGGGAAUUCCAAAAGAAAGAGUGAGUGAAAAUUUCAGGUCCACAUCUGUGCAGCAGACACGGAGAGCAAUCAGCCCAGACCGGAGCUGGAGGACAGCGGGCUCUGGGAGAGAUGCCCCCGGGAAAGGAAAAACACAGCAACCAAAAGCAAUGACAGAUUUCCUGCAUCUACCAAAGUGUCACAAUUCUUGGGGCACUCUACCACACAUAGCUUUCCAGACAAUGGACUCUGUAAGGGCAAGAACAGUCUCAGAAGUGACAUUUCUAGAAUUUCCAUACAGACAUUUCCCACCUCAUCCUGACCUCACUGUUCCAAGAUCCCAGGGACAGAGACCUGCAGGGUGGUGACAAGAAUGGAAUUCAGAGCUCAAGAAGCACUUCCUGGCUUCAGCGGAGGGAGAGGGGUCAUCCCCUUCCCUGGAAAUUUCUUGGAUUAGGAAGGAAUUUAUCAAGAGGUACUCUGAGGCGGGAGGAGGAGCUGUAACACCAUUUGGGAGCAGAGGAACAUUUGUGAUCUUUGUAGAGACUUACUCCUUCAGGAACUGAGGGCUGGAUCUUCUGCCCCCUGCUGGGCCCCAGGGAGGGGCAAUUUCCUCAUAGGAUGAAUGGGCAAACCGCCUUCACCUCCACCUCUUUCACCUCCGUGGCCUCUUUUGCAGGUCACUGUGAGGUCCACAAGUGAGAAUGGAUAAGAAAGUGCCAAAUACUGUUAAGCCAGUCCUUAUUCAGUAAGUCAGGCACAAUAUUAGACUGUGGGGAUUCAGUCAGUCAGUCAACAAAUAUUAAGGGCUGCUAUGCAUCAGGCAAAUUAGAUCUGACUUUUUCAGGGGUUAACAGCUCAGGGAGGGGGUCCAUCCAGGGCAUUUCACACCAGACUGUGCAUAACUACAGCCCUACCUCCAAAGAGGGCCUUCCCUUCUUGCUCAGAUUUCUGGCACAUUUCUCCUCCAGAAGCUGCUCAUUCUCCACCCUCACCCUCCACCACCACCCCAGAGCUUUAAACUCUUGUAUCUAAGAAAGGUGCAUCUGGCCUGUCCAACAUGCAAAUCUUGAUCACCCCAGGCUCAAGGCACACUGAUCCCCUCCCCCACCCUUCGCUACACCUAAUCCAGGCCCUAACAGACCAGGAGCCCCGGGGCGAGGGAGCUUGGAAAGCCUGAUGCUUAGCCUUUGGGUCAGCACCAGAGAGCAGGACAGGGUCAAAGGCCAACUCCCUCCCUCUUACUGCAACUUCGGAGUCUCUGCUCACUGCUGCCCUGUCCUUGGUGCUGGGGACAGUCAUAAAUCAGCUCAAGUCCCUGCUGCCCCAGCUCCCAAUCCAGCAGGGGAGGUAAGACAGGGGGCAUGGCUGAUGGGGCAGAGUUGAGCUCCAGAAGUGCAAAGGGGGAUGUGUGACUCUGCAGCCUGGUCCCACUUCUUAAAGUAGGGAGCUUGAGCCUUUUAACUUGAGCCCCUAGCCUUGGCCCAGCGCCUUUCCUCCAGAAUACUGUGCAUGCUAAUUACCUGCGGAUUUUGUUAAAAUGCAGAAUCUGAUGAUUCAGUGGGCCGGAGGUGGAGCCUGAGAGCCUGCAUUUCUAGCAAGCUCAAGGGUGAUGUUGAAGGCCCGUGGACCACACUUUGAGUGCAGGGCUUCCGAGCACUUCUCCCAUCUCUCUGAGGACUGAUUGGCCAUGUCUCUCCCCCAAGGAUCCCUAAGCUCCAGAAGGCAGGGAUCUUGCCCAUUUGUUUAGUGAUGUGUUCCCAGUGCCUGGCACAGUGCUUGGCACAUUCAGUAAGUACCUGCUGGAGGAGUGUCCAAUGCUCCCUUAUCCCUGGGAGCUGGGAAGAAUCCCA